rnacentral:rRNA from 1 species
AGAGUUUGAUCCUGGCUCAGAGCGAACGCUGGCGGCAGGCUUAACACAUGCAAGUCGAGCGGGCGUAGCAAUACGUCAGCGGCAGACGGGUGAGUAACGCGUGGGAACGUACCUUUUGGUUCGGAACAACACAGGGAAACUUGUGCUAAUACCGGAUAAGCCCUUACGGGGAAAGAUUUAUCGCCGAAAGAUCGGCCCGCGUCUGAUUAGCUAGUUGGUGAGGUAAUGGCUCACCAAGGCGACGAUCAGUAGCUGGUCUGAGAGGAUGAUCAGCCACAUUGGGACUGAGACACGGCCCAAACUCCUACGGGAGGCAGCAGUGGGGAAUAUUGGACAAUGGGCGCAAGCCUGAUCCAGCCAUGCCGCGUGAGUGAUGAAGGCCCUAGGGUUGUAAAGCUCUUUUGUGCGGGAAGAUAAUGACGGUACCGCAAGAAUAAGCCCCGGCUAACUUCGUGCCAGCAGCCGCGGUAAU